rnacentral:rRNA from 1 species
UACGGAGGGUGCAAGCGUUAUCCGGAUUCACUGGGUUUAAAGGGUGCGUAGGCGGCCCGGUAAGUCAGUGGUGAAAUCUCCUUGCUUAACAAGGAAACUGCCAUUGAUACUGUCGGGCUUGAGUACAGUUGCUGUGGGCGGAAUAUGACAUGUAGUGGUGAAAUACAUAGAGAUGUCAUAGAACACCGAUUGCGAAGGCAGCUCACAAAACUGUAACUGACGCUGAGGCACGAAAGUGCGGGGAUCAAACAGG